AUUACUGUGUAAGGAACGGCUUCAUUUUUGAUUAGGGAAAUAAUAUGCUUACUUUUGGGUUUAUGAAGAUCUCGUAACAAUCUGGGGGAGAUGCCGGGGUAAAAAGAGUGAGCUCGGACGAAGGGGUCCGAGAAAAGAACACCGUGAGUUGAGCAAGGCGUUUUAACUGACUCAGGAUUUCAGAGAAUCGAGUCAGCUGUGAUCUCGAGUUUUAAUGAACCCAUGCCCACUUGGCCCCCAUAUCAGGCGAAGCAUGGAAGGCUGGACAGCCCAUGACGGGUAAGAUCCCACCUCGAAACCCUGGGACAACCUAAGGCAAGGCGCAGUCACGAUUGCUUGAACCUAGGUCCCUAAGUGAGCUGGACUCACUGGAGGAGACGGGACUACAAGGGUAAAGCCGCUGGGGCAGAGGGGGAAACGUCAUUAACAAUGACGAGUGAUGAGCCGAAGAGGGGAGACACUCACUGUCUUUCAGGGUGAAUUGUUCCCUGAACCUGAAAAUCAAGCUCUAACUUCUGGCUGAGGACAAGGAAUGUUGUUAUUUAAGGAGGGAGAUCAAAUUUGCGAAAGAGAAAAACUGACUGUUUAAGUGGAACCUUGUGAGGGAGUCUGAAAAA